rnacentral:rRNA from 1 species
CAGCAGCCGCGGUAAUACGUAGGGUGCAAGCGUUAAUCGGAAUUACUGGGCGUAAAGCGUGCGCAGGCGGUUCGUUAAGACAGAUGUGAAAUCCCCGGGCUUAACCUGGGAACUGCAUUUGUGACUGGCGGGCUAGAGUAUGGCAGAGGGGGGUAGAAUUCCACGUGUAGCAGUGAAAUGCGUAGAGAUGUGGAGGAAUACCGAUGGCGAAGGCAGCCCCCUGGGCCAAUACUGACGCUCAUGCACGAAAGCGUGGGGAGCAAACAGGAUUAGAUACCCUGUAGUCCCUGUCUCUUAUACA